rnacentral:rRNA from 1 species
GUGAACGCUAGCGAUAGGCUUAACACAUGCCAGUCGAGGGGUAACGUGUUGGAAGCUUGCUUCCGAUGACGACGACCGGCGGAUGGGUGCGUAACGCGUAUGCAACUUGCCUCACAGUGGAGAAUAACCCGGAGAAAUCCGGACUAAUACUCCAUACACUCUUAAGUACGCCUGUACAUGAGAGGAAAGAUUUAUCGCUGUGAGAUAGGCAUGCGUCCUAUUAGGUAGUUGGUGAGGUAACGGCUCACCAAGCCGACGAUAGGUAGGGGUGCUGAGAGGCAGAUCCCCCACAUUGGGACUGAGACACGGCCCAAACUCCUACGGGAGGCAGCAGUGAGGAAUAUUGGUCAAUGGAGGAAACUCUGAACCAGCCAAGUCGCGUGAAGGAAGAAUGUCCUAAGGAUUGUAAACUUCUUUAGCGAGCGAGUAAGGACUUCCACGUGAUGGGAGUUUGAAAGUAGCUCGAGAAUAAGUAUCGGCUAACUCCGUG